rnacentral:rRNA from 1 species
AUUGAACGCUGGCGGCAGGCCUAACACAUGCAAGUCGAACGAGUGGCGGACGGGUGAGUAAUAUCUGGGAAACUGCCCGAUGGAGGGGGAUAACUACUGGAAAGGGUAGCUAAUACCGCAUACCAUCGGAUGUGCAGAUAUGGGAUUAGCUAGUAGGUGGGGUAACGGCUCACCUAGGCAACGAUCCCUAGCUGGUGUGAGAGGAUGACCAGCCACACUGGGACUGAGACACGGCCCAGACUCCUACGGGAGGCAGCAGUGGGGAAUAUUGGACAAUGGGCGCAAGCCUGAUGCAGCCAUGCCGCGUGUAUGAAGAAGGCCUUCGGGUUGUAAAGUACUUUCAGCAGGGAGGCGUUACUCGCAGAAGAAGCACCGGCUAACUCCGUGCCAGCAGCCGCGGUAAUAC